GAUGAACGCUAGCGGCAGGCUUAAUACAUGCAAGUCGAGGGGCAACAGGGGUAGCAAUACCUGCUGGCGACCGGCAAACGGGUGCGGAACACGUACAGAACCUUCCUUUAAGCGGGGGAUAGCCCAUAGAAAUGUGGAUUAAUACCCCAUAGUAAUGUUUAAUGGCAUCAUUAGAUAUUUAAAGAUUUAUCACUUAAAGAUGGCUGUGCGGCUGAUUAGGUAGUUGGUCGGGGUAACGGCCCACCAAGCCAUCGAUCAGUAACUGGUGUGAGAGCACGACCAGUCACACGGGCACUGAGACACGGGCCCGACUCCUACGGGAGGCAGCAGUAAGGAAUAUUGGUCAAUGGACGCAAGUCUGAACCAGCCAUGCCGCGUGAAGGAUG
rnacentral:rRNA from 1 species